ACCCUCUGGUUCCUGUUCCCAUUGGAUCUGAACGCUGGUCCUGGUGGUUGUAACAGGAGGCCGAGUAACACUGAAGGUGGCCUCGCAGUGUUGUAGUCUGGCAUAUAGUUUCCACAAUGGUUCAAAA
ensembl:snoRNA